rnacentral:rRNA from 1 species
GACGGAGGAUGCAAGUGUUAUCCGGAAUCACUGGGCGUAAAGCGUCUGUAGGUGGUCAAAUAAGUCAACUGUUAAAUCUUGAGGCUCAACCUCAAAAUCGCAGUCGAAACUAUUAGACUAGAGUAUAGUAGGGGUAAAGGGAAUUUCCAGUGGAGCGGUGAAAUGCGUAGAGAUUGGAAAGAACACCGAUGGCGAAGGCACUUUACUGGGCUAUUACUAACACUCAGAGACGAAAGCUAGGGUAGCAA